rnacentral:rRNA from 1 species
GAUGAACGCUAGCGGCAGGCCUAACACAUGCAAGUCGAGGGGUAACAUAGAAAAGCUUGCUUUUCUGAUGACGACCGGCGCACGGGUGCGUAACGCGUAUACAACCUACCUUUAGCGGGGGAUAGCCCAGGGAAACUUGGAUUAAUGCCUCAUAGUAUAUAAGCUUCUCCUGAAGUUUAUAUUAAACAUUUAUGGCUAUUAGAUGGGUAUGCGUCCUAUUAGUUAGUUGGUAAGGUAACGGCUUACCAAGGCAGCGAUAGGUAGGGGUCCUGAGAGGGAGAUCCCCACACUGGUACUGAGACACGGACCAGACUCCUACGGGAGGCAGCAGUGAGGAAUAUUGGACAAUGGGCGAGAGCCUGAUCCAGCCAUGCCGCGUGCAGGAAGACUGCCCUAUGGGUUGUAAACUGCAUUUACAGAGGAAGAACCACCCCCACGUGUGGGGGUUUGACGGUACUCUGCGAAUAAGGAUCGGCUAACUCCGUG